rnacentral:rRNA from 1 species
GGCUCANAGCGAACGGUGGCGGCGUGGAUUAGGCACGCAAGUCGCACGAGAACGGUUCAGCUUGCUGGACUUAUUAAAGUGGCGAACGGGUGAGUAAUGUAUGGACAAUCUACCCUUGACUCGGGGACAACAGCUGGAAACGGCUGCUAAUACCCGAUAGCCCCGGUAGGAGGUACUCCGGCCGGGUAAAGGUGGCAACACUGAUCGAGGAGGGGUCCAUAUCCUAUCAGCUUGUUGGUGAGGUAACGGCUCACCAAGGCGACGACGGGUAGCCGAACUGAGAGGUUGAUCGGCCACAUCGGGACUGAGACACUGCCCGGACUCCUACGGGAGGCUGCAGUCGAGAAUCUUCCGCAAUGGACGCAAGUCUGACGGAGCGACGCCGCGUGAAGGAUGAAGGCCCUCGGGUUGUAAACUUCUGUCACUCGUGAGGAACGUCCGUGGUAAGCCCAUGGACUGACGUUAGCGAGAAAGGAAGCCACGGCUAACUUCGUGCCAGCAGCCGCGGUAAGACGAAGGUGGCAACCGUUGCUCGGAUUCACUGGGCAUAAAGCGCGCGUAGGUGGCUUGAAAGGUCAGCGGUGAAAUCCCACGGCUCAACCGUGGAACUGCCGCUGAAACCAUCUUGCUUGAGGACGGGAGGGGAGAGUGGAACUCUUGGUGUAGCGGUGAAAUGCGUAGAUAUCAAGAGGAACGCCGGUGGCGAAAGCGACUCUCUGGACCGUUCCUGACACUGAGGCGCGAAAGCUAGGGGAGCAAACAGGAUUAGAUACCCUGGUAGUCCUAGCUGUAAACGAUGGGCACUGGGUAGGGGU